GCGGUGGUGGUUGUAAUGGUCAGCAUAGUUGCCUUCCAAGCAGUUGAUCCGGGUUCGAUUCCCGGCCGCCGCA
rnacentral:tRNA from 1 species